AGCGAACGCUGGCGGCAGGCCUAACACAUGCAAGUCGAGCGCCCAGCAAUGGGAGCGGCAGACGGGAUAGUAACACGUGGGAACGUACCCUUCAGUUCGGAACAACCCAGGGAAACUUGGGCUAAUACCGAAUACGUCCGUAAGGAGAAAGAUUUAUCGCUGAAGGAUCGGCCCGCGUCUGAUUAGCUAGUUGGUGAGGUAACGGCUCACCAAGGCGACGAUCAGUAGCUGGUCNGAGAGGAUGAUCAGCAUCACUGGGACUGAGACACGGCCCAGACUCCUACGGGAGGCAGCAGUGGGGAAUAUUGGACAAUGGGCGCAAGCCUGAUCCAGCCAUGCCGCGUGGAUGAUGAAGGCCCUAGGGUCGUAAAGUCCUUUCGACGGGGAAGAUAAUGACGGUACCCGUAGAAGAAGCCCCGGCUAACUUCGUGCCAGCCGCCGCCGUAAC
rnacentral:rRNA from 1 species